CAGACUGCUGUGCUAGCAAUUAGCAAGACUCCGUGGGCGUAGGACCCUCCGAGCCAGGUUCAUCAAAAUAAGAUAUGAUCAAGGUACAAAAGAGUUAAAGAAGCUAUUUAUUUUAAUGUUUCCUUGGAGAGCACACUUGUUAUUAUGCCUGCCCCAGCUUUGCCUUCCACCAUGAGUAAAAGCUUCCCAAGUCCUCCCCAGAAGCAGAUGCUGGCGCUAUGCUUCUGGUACAGCCUGAAAAACCUUGAGCCAAUUAAACCUCAGUGAGCUCAAGAUGUCUUUGUUGAAACAGAACCUCCCGAAGUUACAGUAUUGGUUUUGGGGCUCCACACAGAGAACACAUCACGGAAGCUAUAAUUGAGGAAGACAAAGCUGUCAGGACGACACCAAGAGAGUUAGAAAGCCCAAGAGUGGAGCAUUCUUCACCAUGAUUCCACCUGACACUUGGCUGAAAGCAUUUUGCACUAAUUUGCUUUGUGCCCGUUCAGACAAUCUAAAAAGAAAGGAUGGGGGGACAACAAGUGUCUAUUACACAGAAUAAAC
rnacentral:lncRNA from 1 species